GAGAAUUAAUUUACGGAUUAAGGAAACCGGCGCACGGGUGCGUAACGCGUAUGCAACUUGCCCUUAUCAGGAGGAUAGCCCGGGGAAACUCGGAUUAAUACUCCAUAAGAUUUUGAUUGGCAUCGAUUAAAAUUGAAAGAUUUAUUGGAUAAGGAUAGGCAUGCGUCAGAUUAGUUAGUUGGUAGUGUAACGGACUACCAAGGCGAUGAUCUGUAGGGGGCCUGAGAGGGUGAACCCCCACACUGGUACUGAGACACGGACCAGACUCCUACGGGAGGCAGCAGUGAGGAAUAUUGGACAAUGGAGGGAACUCUGAUCCAGCCAUCCCGCGUGCAGGAAGACGGCCCUAUGGGUUGUAAACUGCUUUUGUAUGGGGAUAAAUCUACCUACGUGUAGGUAGUUGAAGGUACCAUACGAAUAAGCAUCGGCUAACUCCGUGCCAGCAGCCGCGGUAAUACGGAGGAUGCAAGCGUUAUCCGGAUUCAUUGGGUUUAAAGGGUCCGUAGGCGGGCUGAUAAGUCAGUGGUGAAAUUUUGUCGCUCAACGAUAAAACUGCCAUUGAUACUGUUAGUCUUGAGUGAUAUUGAAGUAGCUGGAAUGUGUAGUGUAGCGGUGAAAUGCAUAGAUAUUACACAGAACACCGAUUGCGAAGGCAGGUUACUAAGUAUUAACUGACGCUGAAGGACGAAAGCGUGGGGAGCGAACAGGAUUAGAUACCCUGGUAGUCCACGCAGUAAACGAUGCUAA
rnacentral:rRNA from 1 species